AACGCACAUUGCGCCCGCCAGUAUUCUGGCGGGCAUGCCUGUCUGAGCGUCAUUUCAACCCUCGAGCCAACCUUUUCUGGCUCGGCGUUGGGGAUCGGCCGUCCCUCUUGCGGCGGCCGGCCCCGAAAUCUAGUGGCGGUCUCGCUGUAGCCUCCUCUGCGUAGUAGUAAAACCCUCGCAGGCGGAGAGCGGCGCGGCCACGCCGUUAAACCCCCAACUUCUUAAGGUUGACCUCAGAUCAGGUAGGAAUACCCGCUGAACUUAA
rnacentral:misc_RNA from 1 species